rnacentral:lncRNA from 1 species
GGCGGGGCUUGCGGCGAGGGGUGGGACCGCAGGGCCGGAGUAAAAGGGUGCUUGGCUGUGACAGGUCUCCUGGCCUCAGUGAUGGAAUUAAGAUGACUUCUAUCUCUGAAUCCAAGGGUGACUGAAAGCCGCAAGCUGCAGAAAGGACAAGAGGCAUCACCUAUGUGGAUAAAGACAGCAUCCUGAGUUGAUGGAGAAAUGGCAUAGAAGGAACCAGGUCCUUUGAUGACAUCAUGGAGCAAAGCUGUCUUCUUGCCUUGACCUGCUACCUACCUACAUGGGAAGCUGUUACUUGAGAAGGCAAUAAAAUCUAUCUUCUUUAUUGA